rnacentral:rRNA from 1 species
ACGUAGGAGACGAGCGUUAUCCGGAAUUACUGGGCGUAAAGCGCGAGUAGGCGGCUUUUUAAGUGGUCUGUGAAAGCGUCCGGCUCAACUGGACGAGGCCGGGUCAGACUGGAAGGCUAGAGGGUCAGAGAGGCAGGCGGAAUUCCGGGUGUAGUGGUGAAAUGCGUAGAGAUCCGGAGGAACACCAGUGGCGAAGGCGGGUUGCUGGGCUGACACUGACGCUGAGGCGCGAAAGCUAGGGGAGCGAACGGGA